rnacentral:rRNA from 1 species
AUUGAACGCUAGCGGGAUGCUUUACACAUGCAAGUCGAACGGAGUGGCGGACGGGUGAGAAAUAUAUCGGAACGUGCACAGUAGCGGGGGACAACCACCCGAAAGAGUGGCUAAUACCGCAUACCAACAGAGCGGCCGAUAUCGGAUUAGCUAGUUGGUGGGGUAAAGGCUCACCAAGGCAACGAUCCGUAGCUGGUUUGAGAGGACGACCAGCACCACUGGUACUGAGACACGGCCCAGACUCCUACGGAAGUCAGCGUUGGGAAAUUUUGGACAAUGGGGGAAACCCUGCUCCAGCCAUCCCGCGUGUGUGAUGAAGGCCUUCGGGUUGUAAAGUACUUUUGGCAGAGAAGCGGUAUCUGCAGAAUAAGCACCGGCUAACUACGUGCCAGCGGCCGCGGUAAUA